rnacentral:rRNA from 1 species
UACGGGGGGGGCAAGCGUUGUUCGGAAUUACUGGGCGUAAAGGGCGCGUAGGCGGUUGGAUAAGUCAGCUGUGAAAACCACGGGCUUAACUCGUGGCCUGCAGUUGAGACUGUCUGGCUUGAGUGUGGGAGAGGAGAGUGGAAUUCCUGGUGUAGCGGUGAAAUGCGUAGAUAUCAGGAGGAACACCGGUGGCGAAGGCGGCUCUCUGGACCACAACUGACGCUGAGGCGCAAAAGCUAGGGGAGCAAACAGG